rnacentral:rRNA from 1 species
GGAGGAAAAGAAACCAACAGGGAUUGCCCUAGUAACGGCGAGUGAAGCGGCAACAGCUCAAAUUUGAAAUCUGGCUCUCGGGCCCGAGUUGUAAUUUGUAGAGGAUGCUUUUGAUGCGGUGCCUUCCGAGUUCCCUGGAACGGGACGCCAUAGAGGGUGAGAGCCCCGUCUGGUUGGAUACCAAAUCUCUGUAAAGCUCCUUCGACGAGUCGAGUAGUUUGGGAAUGCUGCUCUAAAUGGGAGGUAUAUGUCUUCUAAAGCUAAAUACUGGCCAGAGACCGAUAGCGCACAAGUAGAGUGAUCGAAAGAUGAAAAGCACUUUGAAAAGAGAGUUAAAAAGUACGUGAAAUUGUUGAAAGGGAAGCGUUUAUGACCAGACUUGGGCUUGGAUAAUCAUCUGGGGUUCUCCCCAGUGCACUUUUCCAGUCCAGGCCAGCAUCAGUUUUCGCCGGGGGAUAAAGGCUUCGGGAAUGUGGCUCCCUCCGGGGAGUGUUAUAGCCCGUUGCGUAAUACCCUGGCGGGGACUGAGGUUCGCGCAUCUGCAAGGAUGCUGGCGUAAUGGUCAUCAACGACCCGUCUUGAAACACGGACCAAGGAGUCGUCUUCGUAUGCGAGUGUUCGGGUGUCAAACCCCUACGCGUAAUGAAAGUGAACGCAGGUGAGAGCUUCGGCGCAUCAUCGACCGAUCCUGAUGUUCUCGGAUGGAUUUGAGUAAGAGCAUACGGGGCCGGACCCGAAAGAAGGUGAACUAUGCCUGUGUAGGGUGAAGCCAGAGGAAACUCUGGUGGAGGCUCGCAGCGGUUCUGACGUGCAAAUCGAUCGUCAAACAUGGGCAUGGGGGCGAAAGACU